AUGAAAGUGGAGGAGCAGACGGUGGUGGGAGGAGGAGGAGGGGGGCUCUGGGGGCUGGCCGGGCGGCCGUGCGACACGUGCGCCGUGGACGCGGCGCGGCUCUACUGCCGGUCGGACGGCGCCUACCUCUGCGCCGGGUGCGACGCGCGCGCUCACGGGGCCGGCUCCCGCCACGCGCGCGUCUGGCUCUGCGAGGUCUGCGAGCACGCGCCCGCCGCGGUCACCUGCCGCGCCGACGCCGCCGCGCUCUGCGCCACGUGCGACGCCGACAUCCACUCCGCCAACCCGCUCGCCAGCCGGCACGAGCGCCUCCCCGUCACGCCUUUCUUCGGCGCGCUCGCCGACCCGCCCCAGCCCGCCCCCUCCCCGUCCUCCGCCGCCGCGACGCAGGAGGACGCGGACGACGACGGGAGCAACGAGGCCGAGGCGGCCUCCUGGCUUCUUCCCGAGCCUGGCGAUAGCCCCGAGGACAGCACCGCUACCUUCUUCCCUGACUCGGACGCGUACCUCGAUCUGGACUUCGUCCGGUCUAUGGACGGGAUCAAGGCCAUCGGGGUGCCCGUCGCCCCUUCCGAGCUCGACGUCGCCGGCGGCGCUCUCUUCUACCCCGAACACUCCAUGAACCAAACGUCCGAGGUCGCGGUGGUGCCGGACGCGCUGUCAGCCGGCGGGGCCCCGGCGCCGGCGCCGUCGGUGGCGGUGGUGGCUAGCAAGGGGAAGGAGCGGGAGGCCCGGCUGAUGCGGUACCGGGAGAAGCGCAAGAACCGGAGGUUCCAGAAGACCAUCCGCUACGCGUCCCGCAAGGCGUACGCCGAGACGCGGCCGCGCAUCAAGGGCCGGUUCGCCAAGCGCACCGCCGAGGACGACGCGCUGGAGCGGGACGGGCCGUUCUCGCCCGCGUCGUCGGCGCACCUGGCGUCGGACGGUGACUACGGCGUCGUGCCGUCCUUCUGA
rnacentral:rRNA from 1 species